rnacentral:rRNA from 1 species
GAUGAACGCUAGCGACAGGCCUAACACAUGCAAGUCGAGGGAAAGGGUAGCAAUACCUAAAACCGGCGCACGGGUGAGUAACGCGUAUGUAACCUGCCUACAACAGGGGGAUAGCUUUCGGAAACGGAAAUUAAUACCGCAUAAGACCACGCUCUCGCAUGGGAGUGUAGUAAAAUUUACGGAGGUUGUAGAUGGGCAUGCGUGACAUUAGCUAGUUGGUGAGGUAACGGCUCACCAAGGCAACGAUGUCUAGGGGUUCUGAGAGGAAGGUCCCCCACACUGGUACUGAGACACGGACCAGACUCCUACGGGAGGCAGCAGUGAGGAAUAUUGGUCAAUGGGCGCAAGCCUGAACCAGCCAUGUCGCGUGCAGGAUGACGGCCCUAUGGGUUGUAAGCUGCUUUUGUACGGGAAGAAAAAAGAUUACGUGUAAUCUAUUGCCGGUACCGUACGAAUAAGGAUCGGCUAACUCCGUGUCAGCCGCCGCCGUAACAC